AUGAGAAUGGGAUUUGCUGAGGAACUUGUGCUGCCCACCUACAGAAAUGUGAAUUUGUUCAUUUCUCAUUGCCUCCUACGCUUGAGGACUCUUUGCUCUGUGCAUGGCAAGUACAAGAAAUAUGUGGACAAGAAUAUGAAUUUAUGAUUAAUGCAAGUGCUUGAAAAACAUGAUGCCUCAGUUGCAGAAAUGAGACUGGCCUCUGUGACCCUGGGCCUCUGAUUCAGGUAAUUCAUUAGUUUGGAAGCUAAGUCAAACUGGUUUAAAUAAUAGAAAGAAUUUGCUGGGGCACAUGCUGAAAGAUCAGAUAAUUA
rnacentral:lncRNA from 1 species